rnacentral:rRNA from 1 species
GAUGAACGCUGGCGGCGUGCCUAAUACAUGCAAGUCGAGCGAACAGACGAGGAGCUUGCUCCUCUGACGUUAGCGGCGGACGGGUGAGUAACACGUGGAUAACCUACCUCUAAGACUGGGAUAACUUCGGGAAACCGGAGCUAAUACCGGAUAAUAUAUUGAACCGCAUGGUUCAAUAGUGAAAGACGGUUUUGCUGUCACUUAUAGAUGGAUCCGCGCCGCAUUAGCUAGUUGGUAAGGUAACGGCUUACCAAGGCAACGAUGCGUAGCCGACCUGAGAGGGUGAUCGGCCACACUGGAACUGAGACACGGUCCAGACUCCUACGGGAGGCAGCAGUAGGGAAUCUUCCGCAAUGGGCGAAAGCCUGACGGAGCAACGCCGCGUGAGUGAUGAAGGUCUUCGGAUCGUAAAACUCUGUUAUUGGGGAAGAACAAAUGUGGAAGUAACUAUGCACGUCUUGACGGUACCUAAUCAGAAAGCCACGGCUAACUACGUG